UAAGUAUAAACCCCUUUGCAAGUAACAAUUGGAGGGCAAGUCUGGUGCCAGCAGCCGCGGUAAUUCCAGCUCCAAUAGCGUAUAUUAAAGUUGUUGCAGUUAAAAAGCUCGUAGUUGGAUUUCUGUUAAUACCUUAUAUAUAAUAUUUUUUUUUAAAUAUUAUUAUGUAAGAUUAACAUAAUUCAUAUUUUUUAAGACUGAAUUUUUAGUUUU
rnacentral:rRNA from 1 species